UCUACGUUGGUGAACCAGCGGAGGGAUCAUUACAGGAUCGAAAGACUCCUAUAACCCCUGUGAACUUACUACAAAUACGUUGCUUCGGCGGGUGCCCCGGGUCUCCCGGGGCGUUCAGCCCGCCGGCAGCCUUCAAAUUCUGUUUCUUUGCGUUGGCAUCUCGAGUAUACAAAAAUAAGUUAAAACUUUCAACAACGGAUCUCUUGGUUCUGGCAUCGACGAAGAACGCAGC
rnacentral:misc_RNA from 1 species